GAUGAACGCUGGCGGCGUGCCUAAUACAUGCAAGUCGAGCGAACAGACGAGGAGCUUGCUCCUCUGACGUUAGCGGCGGACGGGUGAGUAACACGUGGAUAACCUACCUAUAAGACUGGGAUAACUUCGGGAAACCGGAGCUAAUACCGGAUAAUAUAUUGAACCGCAUGGUUCAAUAGUGAAAGACGGUUUUGCUGUCACUUAUAGAUGGAUCCGCGCCGCAUUAGCUAGUUGGUAAGGUAACGGCUUACCAAGGCAACGAUGCGUAGCCGACCUGAGAGGGUGAUCGGCCACACUGGAACUGAGACACGGUCCAGACUCCUACGGGAGGCAGCAGUAGGGAAUCUUCCGCAAAGGGCGAAAGCUUGACGGAGCAACGCCGCGUGAGUGAUGAAGGUCUUCGGAUCGUAAAACUCUGUUAUUAGGGAAGAACAAAUGUGUAAGUAACUAUGCAUGUCUUGACGGUACCUAAUCAGAAAGCCACGGCUAACUACGUG
rnacentral:rRNA from 1 species